rnacentral:lncRNA from 1 species
AACAAAAGAAUUAAUUAAUAGCAAAAUAAACUAUAAGAAACAAUUUUUUUUUUCAGAGAGAAGUAAUACGACACGUAAAGAAACCUGGAUUGAAACAAAGAAAUGAAGAACACUAGAAAUGAAAUAAAUAAAGGUAUCCUGGCUUCCUCCCACACCCCAAAGCUGUGCACACGAGGUGAACUAGCGUACCCACAUGGACCUCAUCUGUGUGAGUGUGGGUGUGUUUGAGUGCACCCUCUGAUGGCAUAUCAUCCUGUCCAGGGUCGUUCUUCUAUUGCUCUGAACUGCCAGGAGUGGCUCUACCCACCUGUGACCCCAAACUCGUCUCAGCAGACAUGGUUUCCCUUUAUCGCUGAAGCUGGAAUACAGGGAUUAUAGCUCACUGCAGCCUUCGGCUCCUGGGCUCAAGUGAUAAUCUUGCCUCGGUAUCCCAAGUUGCUGAGUACCUGAGACUAAAGGUUUAUACUCACCUGUCCAUCAUGUGGAAGCUGGAGAGUCACUUCUUUUGAUAAUUCAAGGGAGAAGAUGAAAUUUCCAAUCAACUUCACAGUACUGUUUUAAAGAGACAGAAUGACCAGGCCUCUUCUGAUACAGGCUCCCACUAUAUGCCUCUGCAGAUGUAGGACAGGCUGUACCAAGAGUUGGUUUUCUCUCAGGAAAAAUGGAUUGGGAUAAUCCAGCACAGCUAUAAUUUUGUUACUAUUUUUAUUGUACCUCAAUGUGAUUUGAAGUAUGAAGGGCAGCGAAUUUGAAUCGUGGGAUUACCAGCUUGAUCCAGAAGUCCUAACCAUUGUCUUACAGGUGCCUGGAAAAUGCUGAUAUAUAGAUGGGGCAAAUACCCAACAGGCUGAUGUCAGAUCACCAGCAUCCAUGUCACGAGGACCCUUGACCAUCCUGAGGCCAGCAUCCAUGUCAUGAGGACCUUUGAGCAUCCUGUAGAGUGGUUCAUGUGGCAAAGAGCCAAGGCCUACCAGCAAGCAAGUGAGGUUGGAAGCAGUCCCUCCUCUAUUUGAGCCUUAGAUGACUGCAGGUCCUUGACUGUAGCCUAUGGAAAAGGCCCCCAGCAAACCCGCACCUGUUUUGUUCCACCUGUUUCCACAUAAACUGGGAGAUGAUAAAUGUUUGUUGUUUUAAGCUACUGAGGUUUAGGAGAAUUUGUUACAUAGCAAUAGAUAAUUAACAAACUUCAUAAUUCUUAAAAUAUUAAUUAAAGCUAUUAGAAAUAAUUAUUCACAUAUCAUAUUGACAAGGAUUGAAGUCUAAUGAUGCCCUAUGUUGAUAAUGUGUGGGAAAAAGACGCAUGCUACUGCUUACAGUGUGUAACUUGGUUCAUUUUUAAAGGGAAGAUAAUUCAUCACUGUGUACUAAAGUUUUAAAUGUUCAUCCUCAUUUACCCAGCAAUUUAUCUCUAAGAGUAUCUGCACAAAAUAUAUGCCCAAUAAUUAAGGACAGAUUAUAUUAAUUAUGGUUCACACAUGAAGUGGAAUACCUUGUGGCUUUUAUCAAAAAUAGGGUAUAUCUAAAUGUGCCGAUAUGUAAAGUUGCCAAAUAAAUAAUGCUGUUACUCUUGCAUUAUUUUCCAUUUCAUUUGGCUCAAUUUUCUCAAGACUCUCCACCCUGAUAUUGACAGAAUUUUCAGAAAUGUGUAUUCUAUAUUUAAGCAGAAUAGUUUGGACAUUAAGGUGUUGACUCUGGGGCCAGUUGCUAGGUUCAAUCUCUUCUCUGCCACUUUUUCUGUGACCUUGGAUAGGUUACUCUGUGACUGCAACUUACCCUAUAAGUUAGGUAGUAAUUGCCUUACAGGCAUUUUUGGAAAAUUCAUGAGUUAAUAUAAUUUAAGGAUUAUAAUAGUUCUUGGAAUAUAGUAUGGACUACAUAGUGUUGAUUCUUUUCUAAAUUGUUAAUUAUAUUUGUAUAUGGCAAUUUUAUCUAGAUCAGAGUUUUCCUAAAGAAUAAUUUGGACAGCUUUUGGGGAUGCUUGAGCAGGCAGUUUCAAGGAUGUGGUCUUUGAGUAGUUUCAUCAGAUUUGCCCUUGGUGCAUGUCUCUUCUUAGUGUCCAUGUUCAAAAUUUUCUACCAUCUUGGUUAGCAGGGGACCUUGGUGGCUCAAAUUAAGCCCUAUUUAGAAAAUUUAUUUGCAUUACUUUAGAUAUUAAAAUAAUUAUUUUAUAUUUUCACUGAUACUGCCAGAAUAUGCUAUGUUUUCUGUUUUGAAAAGAUGAACUAAAUGACCUCCCUCUGAGUCCACCAACAGCUCAAUUUUAUUUCCAGAUGAAAUCACCAUUACCAAAAUGCUAGCAGCCAGACAGCAGUCUCAGUCCAGAAUUCAAAGCCAAAAUGCUGAUUGAAAUUCACGGUAUUCAUAAUAGAAUGGACUAGGUACAGAGUUCACUGGGAACAUAGCUGAUGGAUGAAGUCCUUCUGCAUAUAGGAAUGUGACAUUCUUCACAGAAUAUAUGGCAUUUAAGAUGAGAUAUUAAGGAAAUGUUGGGUGGAUACAGAGAAUUUGGAAAGAAAGAGUGGACCUAAGUCAAGCUAAAAUAUUUAGAAUGUAUCUUUCAUCUAAAAGAGGACACUGCCAUUAGUAAUACAAUUUGUUCAAUGAUAAUUGUGAGAAAGGCAUAGAAGAGGCUUAACAGUGGAUAGAUAUUGGUGGCAUAAAGACAAAGCAGGAGAAAGGCAUAAGCUAAGGCAGCAGCAGAGAACAGGGCUUGGUUUUAAAGAGUCAUCUACUGCUAAAUAGGAGGACUGAUAAACCAGAA